rnacentral:rRNA from 1 species
UACGGAGGGUGCGAGCGUUGUCCGGAAUCACUGGGCUUAAAGGGCGCGUAGGCGGAUCAUCAAGUCCGGGGUGAAAUCUUUCGGCUUAACCGGAAAAGUGCCUUGGAUACUGGUGGUCUCGAGUGAGGUAGGGGCAUGUGGAACUUCUGGUGGAGCGGUGAAAUGCGUUGAUAUCAGAAGGAACUCCGGUGGCGAAAGCGACGUGCUGGACCUCUUCUGACGCUGAGGCGCGAAAGCUAGGGGAGCGAACGGG